AAACAUCUGCAGUGGGAUUUCGUAUAUUACGUGUUAUAGUCUGGCAGGUGGCUGUAAUAUAUAUGAUCUUGUCGUAAUCGAUAAAUCGAUUCUCAAUUUGUUCU
rnacentral:ncRNA from 1 species